UACGUAGGGGGCAAGCGUUGUCCGGAUUUAUUGGGCGUAAAGAGCGUGUAGGCGGUCAGGUAGGUCCGUUGUGAAAACUCGAGGCUCAACCUCGAGACGCCGAUGGAAACCAUCUGACUAGAGUCCGGAAGAGGAGAGUGGAAUUCCUGGUGUAGCGGUGAAAUGCGCAGAUAUCAGGAGGAACACCUGUGGCGAAAGCGGCUCACUGGACCAUAACUGACGCUGAUGCACGAAAGCUAGGGGAGCAAACAGG
rnacentral:rRNA from 1 species